AUGAACUUUCUUCCUUAACGACACGACUGUCGAACCUAUUUAAUUGGGGGUUGACGUCGCGAGACAACUUACUCUCGAAGCGCAGAACGUCUUCUGUCCCGAUACAACAUGCGUCGAGGUGCCUUAUUAUUGCUGUUGUUCCUGGCUACGGUAUCCAUAAGUGUGUCCAGGAGAUCUGCGAGGUGGCCUGGAACUCGACUCAGUUUUGGUGGCCUCAGAAAUACAGUCGGUGGUGCAUUGCGACGACAGAGUAUGAGCGUACGUCAAUGCUUCGAUAUAGCCAAAAGGAGAUGCAGGCCAAUGGUGAGAGACUUGGAACGAGCGGCCGAUCAGUAUCUUGCCGGUAGCGUUUGCAUAAGGACAGUGUGCUGCAAAAUCCCAAAUCUGCUCUCCUGCGUGACAAGAAGUUGUAGCUCAGGGAUUGGACUGGCCGCCAGCGUCGCCAGAUAUGCAAUCGAUGCCCAGAUGCACGACAAGUGUAUGCUUCAAUAUGGAUAUCCUGGUAGCGAAGGGACUGCGUUCCGCUGCUAGCGGCGGACGGCCAUUGGCUGCAUUAAUGAUGCUCUUCUGUGUCUUUUUAUUCAAUUAAAAGAGCUAAAC